rnacentral:rRNA from 2 species
GUUGGGUAGGGGAGCGUUCUGUAAGCCUGCGAAGGUGGCCUGUGAGGGUUGCUGGAGGUAUCAGAAGUGCGAAUGCUGACAUAAGUAACGAUAAAGCGGGUGAAAAGCCCGCUCGCCGGAAGACCAAGGGUUCCUGUCCAACGUUAAUCGGGGCAGGGUGAGUCGACCCCUAAGGCGAGGCCGAAAGGCGUAGUCGAUGGGAAACGGGUUAAUAUUCCCGUACUUGGUGUUACUGCGAAGGGGGGACGGAGAAGGCUAUGUUGGCCGGGCGACGGUUGUCCCGGUUUAAGCGUGUAGGUGUGUGUUCCAGGUAAAUCCGGUUCACUUUAACACUGAGGCGUGAUGACGAGGCACUACGGUGCUGAAGCAACAAAUGCCCUGCUUCCAGGAAAAGCCUCUAAGCAUCAGGUAACAUCAAAUCGUACCCCAAACCGACACAGGUGGUCAGGUAGAGAAUACCAAGGCGCUUGAGAGAACUCGGGUGAAGGAACUAGGCAAAAUGGUGCCGUAACUUCGGGAGAAGGCACGCUGACA